rnacentral:rRNA from 1 species
GUGACAAAAAAUAACGAUACGGGACUCAUCCGAGGCCCCGUAAUCGGAAUGAGAACACCCUAAAUCCUUUAACGAGGAUCUAUUGGAGGGCAAGUCUGGUGCCAGCAGCCGCGGUAAUUCCAGCUCCAAUAGCGUAUAUUAAAGUUGUUGCGGUUAAAAAGCUCGUAGUUGGUUCUGCGUGCCACGCUGUCGGUUCACCGCCUGCCGGUGCAACUGGCAUGCCGUGGCAUGUCCUGUCGGUGGCGGAUAGGCUUCGCGGCGUGCCUUAUGCGGUAUACCAGCGUGUAGGUUGUCGCGCCGCGUUGUCCUUGUACGCCGGCUCAAUCCUACCGCGGUGCUCUUUACCGAGUGUCGAGGUAGGCCGACACUGUUUACUUUGAACAAAUUAGAGUGCUUAAAGCAGGCUCUUAAAUCAGCCUGAAUAGUGGUGCAUGGAAUAAUGGAACAGGACCUUGGUUCUAUUUUGUUGGUUUCCGGAAUCCAAGGUAAUGAUCAAUAAGGACAGGCGGGGGCAUUCGUAUUGCGACGUUAGAGGUGAAAUUCUUGGAUCGUCGCAAGACGCACUAGAGCGAAAGCAUUUGCCAAGUAUGUCUUAAUUGAUCAAGAACGAAAGUUAGAGGUUCGAAGGCGAUCAGAUACCGCCCUAGUUCUAACCAUAAACGAUGCCAGCCAGCGAUCCGCCGACGUUCCUCCGAUGACUCGGCGGGGAGCUUUCCCCGGGAAACCAAAGCUUUUGGGUUCCGGGGGAAGUAUGGUUGCAAAGCUGAAACUUAAAGGAAUUGACGGAAGGGCACCACCAGGAGUGGAGCCUGCGGCUUAAUUUGACUCAACACGGGAAACCUCACCAGGCCCGGACAUUGGAAGGAUUGACAGAUCGAUAGCUCUUUCUCGAUUCAGUGGGUAGUGGUGCAUGGCCGUUCUUAGUUGGUGGACUGAUUUGUCU